rnacentral:snoRNA from 1 species
GUGAUGUAGAUUCCUUUAAGGCGACGGGUGACCGAUUCACCCCUUGCUGA